CUUUUAACAAUGGAUCUCUAGGCUCUCACAUCGAUGAAGGACACAGUGAAAUGUGAUAAGUAAUGUGAAUUGCAGAAUUCAGUGAAUCAUUGAAUUUCCGAACGCACCUUGCACCUUUUGGUAUUCCAAGAGGUAUGCCUGUUUGAGUGUCAU
rnacentral:rRNA from 1 species